rnacentral:rRNA from 1 species
UUGUUGCGGUUAAAAAGCUCGUAGUUGGAUUUCUGUUGAGGAUGACAGGUCCGCUCUUUGAGCGCGUAUCUGGUUCAGCCUUGGCAUCCUCUUGGGGAACGCUACUGUGCUUGAUUGCAUGGGGCGGUAUUCAAGACUUUUACUUUGAGGAAAUUAGAGUGUUCACUGCAAGCGUUAGCAAUUGAAUACAUUAGCAUGGAAUAAUAAUAUAGGACCUUGGUACUAUUUUGUUGGUUUCUAGAACUAAGGUAAUGAUUAAUAGGGACAAUUGGGGGCAUUCGUAUUAACGCGUCAGAGGUGG